GCAGUAGCCUAGUGGUUAGAGUAUCUGCCUUGGAUGCGGGAGGUCAUGUGUUUGAUCCCCAAUGGAGUCA